UCCUCACCACCGCGCAGGCGCAGCAUCCAUGGCCGCGCCCGCGUACAUUGUUCCUCCCACCGGCGAUCUCACCGCCCCCAACGCGAGGAACAGGCCAGCGGUAGGACGGGAGGAUGUGAGGUUCAUGCCCUCGGGUAUCCUCAACAAGUUCGGUCCUCUCUCUGACGAGGUUGUCGACGGGGAGCACGUCGGCGCCGCCACCGCCACCGAGUCCAACAGCAGCCACGAGGAGGACAUCGAGCAGGACGUGGGCGCAGAGGUGCAUCCCCCUCACAGAAGUCGCAGGCGACGCCGACCGGGACGCGGACAUGCCGCAGCAGGUGGCCGUGCGUGGGGAGUUCGCCGCCUCUACCUCGUCUUCCUCUCCGUCGCGGGCGCCAUUGCCGGCCUUUUUAUUUUCGCCGUGGUGUAUUGGUACUACUCUUCACUGGCGCGCUGAUCGACGGAUCCCACCCGCUAAAGCUCCUGUCCUGACGGCCGGCAAGGAUGCCUAGAAGAUUUGCUAAUCAGACGAGCCGGGCUUGGCCGGCAAGAGGAUGCCUCCGAAAGCAGAGUGUUCUUCGGUUACAGUUGAUCAAGAUCAUGUAUAGCUUGUAGUUAGUUUUUGUGGGUAAAGAAAAUGGUCUUGUAGUUAAUCUUUUGGGGUAAAGAAACUGGUCUGGUAGAAUAUACAUUUUACAUUGGUCGUUGUGUCACCACGAAAAAACCAAAAACAGUGUACUCUACAUAUCCCUGUGUAGUGGAAGAAGGUCCUGGGAUCAAUACCUCCCUCGUAUAUGCAAUUUCUUUGUAGUUCACUCA